GCUCUCUUUGGUAGCAUAUACCAAAAUUGGAACGAUUCAGAGAUUGGCAUAGCCCGUGGGCAAGGGACAUGCAAACCAGCAGAUUUUCCUCAUGGUCUG
rnacentral:snRNA from 1 species